CCUACGGGCGGCUGCAGUGAGGAAUAUUGGUCAAUGGGCGAGAGCCUGAACCAGCCAAGUCGCGUGAAGGAUGAAGGAUCUAUGGUUUGUAAACUUCUUUUAUAUGGGAAUAAAACGAGGCACGUGUGCCUUUUUGCAUGUACUUUAUGAAUAAGGAUCGGCUAACUCCGUGCCAGCAGCCGCGGUAAUACGGAGGAUCCGAGCGUUAUCCGGAUUUAUUGGGUUUAAAGGGAGCGUAGAUGGGUUGUUAAGUCAGUUGUGAAAGUUUGCGGCUCAACCGUAAAAUUGCAAUUGAUACUGGCAGUCUUGAGUACAGUUGAGGUAGGCGGAAUUCGUGGUGUAGCGGUGAAAUGCUUAGAUAUCACGAAGAACCCCGAUUGCGAAGGCAGCUUACUAAACUGUGACUGACAUUGAUGCUCGAAAGUGUGGGUAUCAAACAGGAUUAGAUACCCCAGUAGUC
rnacentral:rRNA from 1 species